UCCCCCUCUCACUCACCGUGAACAGACCAGCACGGCAGCGCCCAAGUCCUCCCAUAGAAAUAGUUCGGUUCUUGGGUGUUCUAACCAACACCAAAGUCUAUUCACUUUACCAAGGGAUCAACAAGUGAGGAUUUGUGGGUCACUUUUAUUUUUAACGGACCGGUGCCAGAAACACUGCCUCAGCAUUUAUACGUAUGUGCAUUUCAAACGAGGGUGCGUACAAUGCUGGAUUUGUUUCACGGCUCCUGUUGGAAAAAAAGGACCUAUUCCUAAAGUCCGUCAUCCACUCACUGCAGAGGGCUCAUCCCAGUUACCCACAUGCAAGGAGGCUGUCAAACAGAGAAAUCACUGCAGACUGUUGGUACACGGACAUCUGCUGCCCAGCUCAGGAGUAAAGGUAUGUAAGUUUGUAUGUACCAACAGUAAGUAAUAGAAGAUUUUAAUUGGUAUAUACUGUUUAGAUUUUAUAUUUGAAUUGUAACAACUGUUUAUCUGUUGUUUUAGCACAGACAGGCCUGUCCUCUUGUUUGGUUUAAUUUUUUGUCUGGUAUUGUGUGUUCUUACAUUAGAGAAGGUUUUGACCUACAUAAUAAUUAACAUUUCACUAAUCUACAAUUCUGAUUGCACUACCUUUUGUUUUGAUGAGGUGAUGGUGAGGACAGCCACAGCUUCCAUCUGGUAGAGGACUGCUUCCGCUCAGUCUUCCAAAUAGUGAUGAGAACAAGGAUCACCACAUCUCCCUGUUUACCCUACUUUCAUGCAUUUCGUCUGCAAGGCCCUGCAAAAGCUUCUCCUUCGUCCUCAAACCCCCAGACUUCUUAAUUAACUCAGUAACCUAUACAUUGCACAUUGGAGUGUGAAGGUAACAGUUUGUUCUAGCUUUGGAGUAGUGGUGUAUUUUUUUGGUUUACAAUAAAGUUGGCUUUAACUAUUA